rnacentral:rRNA from 1 species
CCUACGGGUGACAGCAGUGGGGAAUAUUGGGCAAUGGGCGCAAGCCUGACCCAGCAACGCCGCGUGAAGGAAGAAGGCUCUCGGGUUGUAAACCUCCUUUCUCAGGGACGAAGCAAGUGACGGUACCUGCGGAAUAAGCCACGGCUAACUACGUGCCAGCAGCCGCGGCAAUACGGAGGUGGCAAGCGUUAUCCGGAUUUACUGGGUGUAAAGGGCGUGUAGGCGGGGACGGAAGUCAGAUGUGAAAACCCCGGGCUCAACCUGUGGCCUGCAUUUGAAACUGUGUUUCUUGAGUACUGGGGAGGCAGGCGGAAUUCCUGGUGUAGCGGUGAAAUGCGUAGAUAUUAGGAGGAACACCAGUGGCGAAGGCAGUCUGCUGGACAGCAACUGACGCUGAGGCGCGAAAGCGUGGGGAGCAAACAGGAUUAGAUACCCCUGUAGUC